rnacentral:rRNA from 1 species
UUUCGGUUGGGGCGACCACGGAGCAAAGUAAACCCUCCAAGUUGAUUCUACCCCUAAGCCCAGAGCCACAGCUCCAAGCAUUAAUAAAUUAACAUCAAUUGACCCAGUAUUCUGACCAACGAACCAAGUUACCCUAGGGAUAACAGCGCAAUCCACUUCAAGAGUCCUUAUCGACAAGUGGGUUUACGACCUCGAUGUUGGAUCAGGAUUUCCUAGUGGUGUAGCCGCUACUUUAGGUUCGUUUGUUCAACGAUUAAAAUCCU